rnacentral:lncRNA from 1 species
CGAGACACAGGGAGGGAGCGCGAAUCGAGUUAUUUGAUUUGAAGAAAGGAAACCAGGCAAGAACGUCCUGUAUGCGCGGCGUCCUGGAUUCCCUGCAACAGGCCGUUAGAUGAGAAAGACGUCUGUGGCAUGUGGCGCGGAUUUAAUGAAACUACAAGAUAAAUUGGGGAGCUCAGGCCAAGGUGAAAACACAGGGCUCCCGACACACUCUGCCUGGAGCCCGGGGGCCCCGGGGACGGAUAUAGGGGCAGGAUGUGAUGCCUGGAGCUUUGGCAGUCAUCUUGUGAUUGUGAGCUAGAGUGGCUACAAGACUAGUUCAAGCUACAAGACAAGUUCUGGCCAAUAAGAUGUAAGUGAAAGUUGCAUGUGGGACUUCUGGGAAGGCUGUUUAGAAGGAGCUGGCUCUGCUAGCAGUCUGCCUCUUUUGUCCUACUUCCUUUCAUUUGCCCUGCUGCCAGGAAGGCAAAUGUGAAGGCUGGAGCUCCAACAGCACCCUUGGACCAUGAGGUGUCGUUGAGCAUGGGAGUCACAUACACAGGGGAUUCAGAGAAGCGAAAAGCCUUUCCUGCUUCGGGGAGCUCGAGAUUCCAUGGAUCCCUAAGACCCGGCCGUGGAACGUGGUGUUCACUUGCUCGCUGGUGCUAGCGUCAGAGCAGCUAACAUCCAUUGGACACUUACUGCGUGCAAGCACUGUGCUUGGUCCUUAUCUCAUUUAGUCUUCACAUGGCCCUGUGGGGUUGGUCCUGUUAGCGUCCCUCACCCAUUUGUUAGAUAAGGAACCGAAACUCGAGAGGUCCGACGACUAACCACAGGAAUGGCUGGUGAGCUGGAGUCAGGACAGGAAUCCAGGUCACCCCGCUCAAGCACCCCUUGCUUUAGCCAGA